GAUGAACGCUGGCGGCGUGCCUAUUACAUGCAAGUCGAGCGAACGGACGAGAAGCUUGCUUCUCUGAUGUUAGCGGCGGACGGGUGAGUAACACGUGGAUAACCUACCUAUAAGACUGGGAUAACUUCGGGAAACCGGAGCUAAUACCGGAUAAUAUUUUGAACCGCAUGGUUCAAAAGUGAAAGACGGUCUUGCUGUCACUUAUAGAUGGAUCCGCGCUGCAUUAGCUAGUUGGUAAGGUAACGGCUUACCAAGGCAACGAUGCAUAGCCGACCUGAGAGGGUGAUCGGCCACACUGGAACUGAGACACGGUCCAGACUCCUACGGGAGGCAGCAGUAGGGAAUCUUCCGCAAUGGGCGAAAGCCUGACGGAGCAACGCCGCGUGAGUGAUGAAGGUCUUCGGAUCGUAAAACUCUGUUAUUAGGGAAGAACAUAUGUGUAAGUAACUGUGCACAUCUCGACGGUACCUAAUCAGAAAGCCACGGCUAACUACGUG
rnacentral:rRNA from 1 species